rnacentral:rRNA from 1 species
GCCAUUUCGGGGAGCAACAUCCGGAGGAGAGAGGAGAGAGAGUCAGAAUCAGAAAGCUAAAAAAAGCAGCCAGCAAUCUAGUGGUGUAGCGAGGCGAGCCCUGGCUGCGUCCCUCCCCUUCCUCCGUUUCCCACCCCUCCAAAAAAAAUUCACCUCACGCCCCCGGGCCCCGGGCCUCCCCCCCGCGCCGACGACCCCCCGAAGCUCCCGGAGGCUUCUAGGGCCUCGCCGCCGCCGCCGCCGCCGCCCCCCCUCCCACCAAUCGCCGCCUCCGGCAGCGGCGAGGCCGCUUCGCAGACGGCGGAGGGACGGUGCUAGGGUUUGCAGCCGCGGCCGCCGGCGCCCGCGGAGGAGGAUGCAUAUGAUGCGGCGGCUCAAGAGCAUCGCCUCCGGCCGCUCCUCCGUCUCCGAUCCGGGUGGUGACUCUGGCUCAAAAAGGCCAAAAUUUGAUCAGGAUGGAUUGGGCGAUAUUGUCAUUCAACCACAUCUAUCUGAUGACAAACCUAUGCAUCUAGACCAAGAAUCAUCAUCAUCAUCAUCAUCAUCAUCUCAUAGAGAUGCUGAGGCAAGCACAUCUACUAGUAUGAAUCCUGCUAAAGCUGAAGAAACAGGUGCAGAUCUUCCGAAAGGAAUGAAUGAUAUGACAAUAAGCGAUGAUAAAGUUGGCCAUAAUAAUGAUAAGGAGGCUGAAGGGGUUACCGUUGAUGGAAGUGGAACAGAAGCUGGCCAGAUCAUUGUGACGACAAUAGGAGGUCAAAAUGGGAAGCCAAAGCAGAAGGUCUCAUACAUGGCAGAACGCGUCGUUGGGACUGGUUCGUUUGGUGUAGUAUACCAGGCCAAGUGCUUGGAAACUGGAGAGACUGUUGCCAUUAAGAAGGUGCUGCAGGAUAAGAGAUAUAAGAACAGAGAGUUGCAAACAAUGCAGUUACUUGAGCAUCCAAAUGUAGUUCAGCUAAAGCAUCACUUCUUUUCGACAACUGAGAGGGGUGAAGUGUACCUAAACCUUGUACUUGAAUAUGUCUCGGAGACAGUUUAUCGUGUUGCCAAAUAUUAUUGUCGGCUGAACCAGCGUGUACCCAUACUAUAUGUUAAGUUGUAUGCAUAUCAGAUGUGCCGGGCCCUUGCAUAUAUCCAUCGUGUUGUUGGUGUAUGCCAUCGAGAUAUUAAGCCGCAAAAUCUGUUGGUCAAUCCUCAUAUGCAUAAACUUAAGCUUUGUGAUUUUGGGAGUGCUAAAAAACUGGUCCCUGGAGAGCCAAACAUCUCAUACAUCUGCUCGCGGUAUUAUAGGGCUCCUGAACUAAUAUUUGGAGCUACAGAGUACACCACAGCAAUUGAUAUCUGGUCUGUUGGUUGUGUAGUAGCUGAGCUUCUGAUUGGUCAGCCUCUGUUUCCUGGAGAAAGUGGCGUUGAUCAGUUGGUUGAAAUUAUAAAGAUUUUGGGUACCCCAACAAGAGAAGAAAUCAGAUGCAUGAACCCAAACUACUCCGAAUUCAAGUUCCCUCAGAUAAAAGCUCAUCCCUGGCACAAGCUUUUUGGUAAGCGUAUGCCACCUGAAGCAGUUGAUCUUGUGUCAAGGCUACUUCAGUACUCACCAAAUCUGCGCUGCACAGCUGUCGAUGCUUGUGCCCAUCCGUUCUUCGAUGAACUGCGGGAUCCCAAGACCUGCUUGCCAAAUGGACGGCCAUUACCACCAUUAUUCAACUUCUCGGGAGCUGAGCUAGAAGGCCUCCCUGUUGAGCUACUCCACCGGAUCAUUCCUGAACAUAUGAGGAAGUGAAGAGAGAUGGCGGCUGGAGAAGCGGUCGCUAUUUCUCGGCGCCACUGUGCGGGUGGAGACCGGACACCGCGAGCAUAUCCAUGGCUCGUCGUGGAUUUGAUCUGGAGUAGACUCCCCGGCUGGCCUGGACUGGCCUGGAGCUAGAGAAGGGCAACCGCGGGCAUGUGCCCAGGGCCCAGACCCACCCACACUGCUGUGGGCCCCUGUUUUAAGUGUAUGUGUUUAUGUCGUUUGAUGAAAGAAUAGUAUGUUGCUCGUUUCCAGCUUUCAGAACUUUCUCAGUGAAGCAUGAAAAUGAUGAUGUCACGCUUCGUAUUGACAUGGGAUUCAAAUUCGAAUCCCAUAUCCGAGGCAUUCAUGGUGGAUACCUUUUGACUUGACCAAGUUGCCAGCAGAUGCGUUUUCGACCAUCAUCAAGGCCAGCAUAAUCAUAC